rnacentral:lncRNA from 1 species
CUCUAUCUUUCCAUAUCAUGAUAUGUGUAAAAAAGUGUUAAGUUAACCCUUAAAAAAUGAUUAAAGUCAAAUAUGUGAAAUUAGGGUGUGUUUAGGUGGUAAAAAGAAGGAACCCCAUGGGAAGGACAUUUUAAACCAAAACAAAGUUUUUUUUUUGUUAUUGUUGUAAUUUAUGCAACUUUGUUCUUGAAAAAUAAAAUUUGUUUUGUGUGUAUUUAAUACCUUUACACAACUUUUCAAUGAUAAUGCGGAAUAUCGCUAAAUUUUACCUACAUGUAACAGGUAAGUUUACAAGCAUCGACGUGGCUCCAUCGUUAGAGCAUAGAACUGUCAAUGAAAGUUUGUUUCAAAGAGAGGGUUCAAAUAUCUCACAUAUGUUUUGCACUGUUUUGUGUUGAAAUAUUCAAAUUUAAUGAUAGCAUCAUAUUUUUAGGAUGUUUGUUUAAUUCCUAUAUUGAUAAUGGAU